ensembl:lncRNA
CCACCCUUCAAGUGCAUCCCUGGGCAGCAGGCAGAGGGGCCCUGGUAAAGCCGGGCCAGAGCCCCUUGGAGCUCCCAGGCUUGUAGGAGGAGCAGGGCCCAGGGCCUGGGCCACAUGCAGGUCCCCAGGAAUGGCCAGCUGGGGCGGCGAGGCUGCGGCCCCCAGGGAGCUCCCAGAGGUGGGAAGGCUGGCUUGGACGGCCCCCACUCACUGUCUCCUUCUAGACAUCCAGCCCGGCCUGGGACGCCCACCCGCCUGGGGGCUGGCGCAUCCCGGCUUCCUGCCCGCCUCGGGCUCCUCGGCCCUCGCGUGCUCCUCGACCUGCCCGCUCCAGGCACCUCCUGUGGUCCUCCCGGCCAGAUCCAGCCCUCACCACCCGCCCCCAGGGGCGGGGCCGGGCCUGCCCUGCCCCUGCGCACCCUCAGUGCAGACGCCCAGCGCCGAGCAGGCCCCGAGAACAUCACUGACGAGAGAGAUGGGCUCUCCUGAGACCACCAGCUGGCAAGAGAGGAGACUGGCCAUGGGGUAGAGUCCAGGCCUGACCCAAAGGCCAGAAGAGGACGGAAGGUGGGGAGGGGAAAACCACGUCAGCCCCUCAUCCACGGCGUCCGACAGCGGCUCCUAGGAUCCAUCACUCAGCUGCGAAUCUCCCGGACCUGCGCAGAGGCUGCCGGGCCCGCCCCACCUCCGUGUCGCUGGGAGGCUGUGCCCGCAACCCCCAGGAAAGAGGGCCCUGCCCUGUGAGAUCCAGGACUCAGGACCUCAUCCCCCAUCCAGGCAGAGGCCAAGCCCCAGGCAGAGUGAGGUCCACCUGUGAACCAGGCUGGCUGGUCUGGGAGGGUCCAGGAGGGCAGAGUGAGGAGUCCAAGACUCCAGCCCCAAGGUGGGGGCCACAGAGGGGCGAUCCUUUCAGCCCCUUUCAGCUGCUGCCUAGGUGACACAGCCAGCCCACGGGUACGGACGACACUUCUGGGCUGUUAUCGAAUCAGUGAGUGAGAGGAUGGGUCGUGGAUGGUGGAUGGAGGGUGGAGGGAGGGAUGGAUGGUGAUGAUGGAUGAUGGAGGGAUGGAGGAUGAUGGAUGGAUGGUGGAUGGAUGGAUGGUGGAUGGAGGAUGAUGGAUGAUGGAUGGAUGGUGGAUGGUGGAUGGAGGGAUGGAUGGUGGAUGGAUAGUGGAUGGAUGGAGGAUGAUGGAUGGAUGGUGGAUGGAGGGAUGAUGGAUGGAUGGUUGAUGGAGGGAUGGUGGAUGGAUGGUGGAUGGAUGGAUGAUGGAUGGUGGAUGGAGGGUGGAUGGAGGGAUGGCUGAUGGAUGAUGGCUGGAUGAUGGAUGGAUGGUGGAUGAUGGAUGGAUGGUGGAUGGUGGAUGGAGGGAUGGAUGUGGAUGGAUGGAUGGAUGGUGGAUGAUGGAUGGAUGGUGGAUGGAGGGAUGGAUGGUGGCUAGACAUGUACCACCGGACCGUAAGGCAGACUGGCAGAGAUACAGAGGAGCAGCCCCUCCCACACUGGUGUGCACACACCACACACACACAUA